AUGGCUUCAUCCGGUUCCAUGACGAGGCCGCCCUGUGCUGACCGUGAAGACAUGCCAAACAAGUGGGAGAACGCCAAACUGGAUGAGGUGAAGGAAAAAGAUAUGAAAACCUCACCAUGUUGGUGUGGAGAUGUAUGCAAGGUGAAGGUUUCCACCGACCGCAAGAAGUCAUGGACGAAAGGGAGAAGAUUUUGUGCGUGUCCCAACUAUGCACAUGAUCGGGUGCUUCCAACAAACGCCUAUGACGUACCACCAGUAUGGACAAAGAGUAAUCUCAAAUUUUGUCCAACUUCAACUCAUAAUCCUAACAACAAAUUUGUUUAUCCUAUGUAG
rnacentral:rRNA from 1 species